rnacentral:rRNA from 1 species
CCUACGGGAGGCAGCAGUAGGGAAUAUUGCUCAAUGGGGGAAACCCUGAAGCAGCAACGCCGCGUGGAGGAUGAAGGUUUUCGGAUUGUAAACUCCUAUUGUUAGAGAAGAGAAUGACGGUAUCUAACGAAUACUCACCGGCGAACUCCGUGCCAGCAGCCGCGGUCAUACGGAGGGGGCAAGCGUUAUUCGGAAUCACGUGGCGUAACGGGCGCGUAGGCGGGAGAGCAAGUCAGGUGUGAAAUCCUAUGGCUUAACCAUAGAACUGCCUUUGAAACUGUUAUUCUAGAGUAUGGGAGAGGUAGGUGGAAUUCUUGGUGUAGGGGUUAAAUCCGUAGAGAUCAGGAGGAAUACUCAUUGCGAAGGCGACCUGCUAGAACAUAACUGACGCUGAUGCGCGAAAGCGUGGGGAGCAAACAGGAUUAGAUACCCGGGUAGUC